GACGAACGCUGGCGGCGUGCUUAACACAUGCAAGUCGAACGGAAAGGCCCUGCUUUUGUGGGGUGCUCGAGUGGCGAACGGGUGAGUAACACGUGAGUAACCUGCCCUUGACUUUGGGAUAACUUCAGGAAACUGGGGCUAAUACCGGAUAGGAGCUCCUGCUGCAUGGUGGGGGUUGGAAAGUUUCGGCGGUCGGGGAUGGACUCGCGGCUUAUCAGCUUGUUGGUGGGGUAGUGGCUUACCAAGGCUUUGACGGGUAGCCGGCCUGAGAGGGUGACCGGGCACAUUGGGACUGCGAUACGGACCAGACUCCUACGGGAGGCAGCAGUGGGGAGUAUUGCACAAUGGGCGGAAGCCUGAUGCAGCAACGCCGCGUUCGUGAUGACGGCCUUCUGGUUGUAAACCGCUUUCGCCUGUGACGAAGCGUGAGUGACGGUAAUGGGUAAAGAAGCACCGGCUAACUACGUG
rnacentral:rRNA from 1 species